rnacentral:rRNA from 1 species
UACGAAGGGUGCUAGCGUUGUUCGGAAUUACUGGGCGUAAAGCGCGCGUAGGCUGUUUGACAAGUCAGAGGUGAAAGCCCUGGGCUCAACCCAGGAAUUGCCUUUGAAACUGUCAGACUAGAGUGUCGGAGGGGAUAGCGGAAUUGCUAAUGUAGAGGUGAAAUUCGUAGAUAUUAGCAGGAACACCGGUGGCGAAGGCGGCUAUCUGGACGACAACUGACGCUGAGGCGCGAAAGCACGGGGAUCAAACAGG